UUAAUUUCGAUAUGUGUUAAAGUUAUAUUUUUUGAAACAUUCAAUAGUGUCGUACACUUGUUGAUACUCAAUUUAAUUUUUACACCUAUGUGUAUUAAAAAUUUUAUUCGUGAAUUUUUUACAUCGUUUGAAAAUGAAAUUUAGGAAAUAAAAUAUUUCUCUACUUGACCAAAUUUCGUACUCAGACUGUCUGGAUUCGUAGAAAAGCACAUUACCCUUCGAGUUAUGCGCAUGCAUGCUUACCGUAACAUAGUUGAUCAUCUUGUCCCUUCUCUCCGGUUUCGUCUUCGAAUAAAUUCGUUGUCCAAUUGCAAAUUCUACAUUAAUAAUCGAAACGUAGAAUGACUUACAAAACAACCACAGGCAAUUUGAAAUAAUCCAAUUCUUCGAUUGUAAAGCCAAAUAUUGUUAAUAAAACCGAGAAAAUAUUUACACCAAUAAUCUUAUUUUCUGGCUUUCGUUACUGGUACGAGUCUCGAGAAGUUUAUUUCCUUGCGAUGCAUUUUUCCUUAAAUUCUUUGGUUCAUAACACGAACUCUUUCAUUCCAUUUCAAAUCGUCGCUCGUUGUUAUCACUCGCAUUUUCGUAAGGGUACAAAAUCAAAGAUAAGUCUAUACAACUCUAUAAUUCGCCGAAUUAAGUUUCCAUCGCAUUAUAUAUAUAUAUAUAUAUAUAUAUAUAUAUAUAUAUAUAUGUCCAUAAUAAUAUGUUGUGUAGAUAUGUUGGUUAAAAUUGAUCAUUUUAAUAAUCGUGUUUUCAUAAUGAGUAGAUUUCAAUAAGUCUCUGACAUGGAACAUGACACCAAUAUAGGUAAAACUCAGUUUUCGGAAUGUUCACAUAUCGCGUUGCGUUUCUCAAAAAAUGUAACCUUGACGACUUCUGAUAUUUACAGAAGUGUUUAUUUAAUUAACAAUAUAUUGUUACAUUUUUGAAAUUUAAAAAAUGUCGAUAAUUCACGACAGUUAAUGAUAAGAACAGAGUCAUAAGCGAUAUAUAAAAAGUGUAUAUUUUGCGUUAAUAAAUUUAAUUCUCAAGACUAUAUCUGUAUUAGAAGAAAUUUUUCAUUCUGUGCGCAAAAAGUACAAAAUAUUAAUUUUAUGUGUAUGAAUCUCUAUUUAUUCUUAUUCAAAUAUUCGAGCAUGCAUGUUUCUGCAUAUUCGUAUGAGAAAUAAAUAAACGAAUCUAGGAAAUCUAUGAUCGAUUGACGAUGGAAGAUCCUCAUUAUUUAUAUAAAGUUUUAAUAUAUGUGUUCAUAAUUUUUUUCGAAUAUUUUUAUGUCUAAUCCCGAAGAUAGUUCGUAUGAUUAUUCCUUAUGUCACAACUGACAACUUAGGUUACUUAAUUUGCAGAAAAAUUGCGAGAAUCAAACGGGUGCAUGAAAAAAAGAGUGAUUGGUAUAUGAUCAACGAGAAAUUAACAGCAAGGGAGGGAGAAGGAAAUUGUGCAGCUCAUAACACUCGAUUUAAUACCUAACGAUAAAAGAAUUCGUAUCUUAAUUUCUAGCAAUUCUUGUUUUUCGAACGUACAAAGAUCGGUUUCAAACGUAUUUUUUCGAACUUAUACAUACAAUAAUCAAAUUACGCGGGGAGAAACGAAUACCACAGGUAGCGGAACACACGGUUAAUAUAUAUUAUUGCCGCUACGAUGAAAUCAAUCGUAGGUAGACACUCGAAGCAAACACAAUAAACUAUUAAUCAUUUGCAUCGUAUUCCAAGGAUGAUUUACGUUUCAAUAUAAAUGUGAUAAAUUAUCAAUAGUGGAAUAUCACACGAGAAGAUAAACGCGUGUUUGAAACGAAUAUAAAUUAUGGGAAACUCUAUAUAUUACAUACAGAUUGCAAGGACAUAGUUGUAACGGUAUAAUUAUUUUUCCCAUUGCUAAUAUACUGCACUGUUAAUAGAGACAUGUACUGCUAAUGGGAUAGUAAUAAAAUGUGCAUUGAUAUUCCAAAGUGCUGUAUAAAUAAUUAUAAAUAUGAGGACUAAGGAAUGUAGUGAAGGAAUUAUUAACAACUCGUAUACGCCAAAGAGUAAACAACGAAAGGACUACAGGUGUCAAUAACAUUAAAGAACAAAGAUUGUCAAUACGUAGUUUGCGUAUAUAAAAAAAUAGCGACAGAGCUAUAGAUAGAACGAACAACCUACUCAAGGACAAUAAAAAUAUGGACGGACGGAUACAACAAUUCAGAGAACAACAAAGAAAGCACAAUAAGUGAAAGAAACGGUAUAAUCAUUAUAUCGAAAGUUAAAAAAUCGCAUUGUAAAAUGCUGUACUGAAAGUCUGAUAAUCAUAAAAAGAGCACUGAUAUUCCAAAUCUAUCGGUUAAAUUAUUACGAAUAACGAAGAAGAAAUGAGGUAGUGAAGAAACGUUCAAAUAACUGUUGGAUACACCAAAAGAAAUAAAAUAAGGAAAUCGAAUCUACGAACGACAGAUAUCAAGAGUACUAGAGAGCAAGGAUAGACAAUACUAUACAAUAGAUCAACGAUAGAAGACAACAGUACUGCGAGCAAAAAAGGAAUCUUCGAAUGCAGGAGAAGAAGAAGUAAUAACUGAAAGAAAAUUUAGAGAUAUAAUUAAAAUAGAAUCGACAUUUAGCAAAAUUAAAACUGAUCUCGAUAUUUAGUUAAUUGAAAAAUAUGACGACUAUGCGAAUAUGCGAAUAAUAGCUAGAUAUAGUACCCGGAGCAGCAUUUAUAACAGGUAGGAAAUAAUAUGGCAAUUGAUUGAAGAGCCUAGAUUGUCGAAGAAGGUGCUUCUGAAUUGUCCAAAAGAAAUAUGAUUGUACUACAACUAUCAAGCGGUAAAUAGUAAAAUAGUUAAGUAGCCAUAAUCUAUAGAGUGCAUACAAAAAAAGUCGAUAGAUCGUGAGAUAUAAAGUAUUGUACUAUACUUGACUCAAGUAGUGGAUAUUAUCGAAUACCAAUAGUUAAAUACUCUGAGCACAUUUUUGUGUUUAGCAUAACAGACAAACGUUUACUAGAAUAUCAUACGAGAUUUAAAGUGCUUCUGUCACAUUUGAACGCUGAUGUAGUUUCAAAUAAGUUUAUCGUAAACUAUUCCAAUAACAUUUUUUGAUGAAAUCAUUAUCCCAUAAAAAAAUAUCGAAGAAGGGAAAUAUAAUUUUAUGCAGCAUCCGCUUUGUAACAUUAUAUUCGUCAUUAUUAAUAGUCGCAGUAUGAUUACCUCAUAUCAGUUCUUUCUUUUGCAACCGAAGGAAAAGACAGAACACACAUAAUCUAAAUAUCAUGAAACGAUUUUAAAAAUACACAAUCAAACUGAUCAAUACACACAGGCGUGCAACUCAAUAUAAUUAAAUUCAAGUAUUAAUCUAAAAUAGUAACAUCAUUAACGCUAAUUAUUAAAAAUGGCUAAUGGUAUUAUAAUUAUCAUCAACAACAAUACACAUAUUUUUCAUUUGGAAUCAUUUCGGAACAUAUAUGACAUUUUUUAAGUAAUAUUUAAAUUAUCCUAUACAGGUAAUUUAUUGGCAAUUAUCAAUUAUUAUAAAUUAUUAUAUUUAAUUAAUAUUCAAUAUAAAAUUAUUAAUUCACUUAAAAUUUCCGAAUGAAACUCCAUCAUUGUUCAAUACGGAUGAUAUUCUGUUUUACUGCUCUUUAUGAUUUGACAGAAAGCUCAGGCUUACAAAAGCAUCAGCUAUAAAACAAGAAUUCAAAAAAGUAAAAAGAGAGAGGAUGUCAACGUAGUUAUAACGACGUAACCUGUAUAGUGAGAGAAGAAUGAAGGAUUUAUGAAGUAAGGCACACUGGUCAUGUAUACGGCGGACUAAAUGGUAACUUGCUUUCCGAAGGAUUCGAUGGUUCGAAUUUCAAAAAUAAGUUGAGAAGAAAUAUAUAUCAAUUUCUUUGAAAAAACCAAGUACAAAAGUGUUUAUUUAACGAUGGCUUGCUCGCUAGGAAGGGAAAUAUUUUAGAAAGUAAUAAUCAAAUAAUUGUGUUGCAAAUCUUCAAAACUUCUGAGCAGGAAUCGAGCGAACAAACGAACAUUUUUUGAACCUUAGAACAUAACAUGAAGAUGGAUACAAAGAAACAUAUAAGAAAUUUACAAUGUAUACAGUUAAAGUAUAUCGUGUGACUAAAGUGCGUUGGAAUCUAUGCAUUUCUGAAGAUUCUCGUUACAAAAUAGUGGCCGUAAUGUUUAUAGAAUAAUUCAUGUUACUUUGAAUAGAUAAGACUUUUGUAACAGAGAACGAAAUGCAGAAUAUUUAUUUGGAUUAAAUAUUUUGUUAUAAACUAUGUAAACUGAUGUAUAAAUUGCUUAUAUUUUGUAACUCCGGCGAGUGAGUAGGCAGGGUUCUUACAUUUCCUAAAUAAACUUAAUAAGACUUCUGCUGCUAUACAAUUAGAUUACUUGAAGCCUAUUAUCACAACAGAACGUGAAAAUUUAAUAUAUAAUUGUCUUAAUACGAAUGAAUGAUACAUGGAGAACGUUUAAUGCAUUGGAUAUCAUUGUAAAUUCUGCUGCCUCCCUUACCAAAAGAUAUUUUUUUUUUCUAGAGAUUUGGACACAUUAUAUGGCAGGGAUUAUUCAUAAAUUUGAAAUAAACUUGAGGGCUAGUAAUACCGCUAUAGUUAUUUCACUUUAAAAAAUUUAUAAUACAAAUUAUUUAUCUGUUACUAAUUUUGUUGAAUCAAUUCAUACCAGA